rnacentral:rRNA from 1 species
GACGAACGCUGGCGGCGUGCCUAAUACAUGUAAGUAGAACGCAGUUGCGCACGGGUGAGUAACGCGUAGGUAACUGCCUCAUAGCGGGGGAUAACUAUUGGAAACGAUAGCUAAUACCGCAUACUGUGAGAUGGACCUGCUUUGUAUUAGCUAGUUGGUGAGGUAAAGGCUAACCAAGGCGACGAUCCAUAGCCGACCUGAGAGGGGGAGAGGCCAAACUUGGAAUGAGGAACGGCACAGAGUCCUACGGGAGGCAGCAGUAGGGAAUUGUCGGCAAUGGACGGAAGUCUGACCGAGCAACGCCGCGUGAGUGAAGAAGGUUUUAGGAUCGUAAAGCUCUGUGGUUAGAGAAGCGUUAACUAACCAGAAAGGGACGGCUAACUACGUGCCAGCAGCCGCGGUAAUAC